rnacentral:rRNA from 1 species
UACAGAGGGUGCAAACGUUGUUCGGAAUUACUGGGCGUAAAGCGCGUGUAGGCGGCCCUGCAAGUCGGAUGUGAAAUCCCACGGCUCAACCGUGGAAGGGCAUUCGAAACUGCGGGGCUGGAGUACUGGAGAGGAAGGUGGAAUGCUCGGUGUAGAGGUGAAAUUCGUAGAUAUCGAGCGGAACACCGGUGGCGAAGGCGGCCUUCUGGACAGUUACUGACGCUGAGACGCGAAAGCGUGGGGAGCAAACAGG